rnacentral:rRNA from 1 species
GAUGAACGCUGGCGGCGUGCCUAAUACAUGCAAGUAGAACGCUGAAGCUUGGUGCUUGCACCGAGCGGAGGAGUUGCGAACGGGUGAGUAACGCGUAGGUAACCUGCCUCUUAGCGGGGGAUAACUAUUGGAAACGAUAGCUAAUACCGCAUAAAAGUCGACAUUGCAUGAUGUUGACUUGAAAGGUGCAACUGCAUCACUAAGAGAUGGACCUGCGUUGUAUUAGCUAGUUGGUGAGGUAACGGCUCACCAAGGCGACGAUACAUAGCCGACCUGAGAGGGUGAUCGGCCACACUGGGACUGAGACACGGCCCAGACUCCUACGGGAGGCAGCAGUAGGGAAUCUUCGGCAAUGGACGGAAGUCUGACCGAGCAACGCCGCGUGAGUGAAGAAGGUUUUCGGAUCGUAAAGCUCUGUUGUAAGAGAAGAACGAGUGUGAGAGUGGAAAGUUCACACUGUGACGGUAACUUACCAGAAAGGGACGGCUAACUACGUGCCAGCAGCCGCGGUAAUACGUAGGUCCCGAGCGUUAUUCGGAUUUAUUGGGCGUAAAGCGAGCGCAGGCGGUUAGAUAAGUCUGAAGUUAAAGGCUGUGGCUUAACCAUAGUACGCUUUGGAAACUGUUUAACUUGAGUGCAGAAGGGGAGAGUGGAAUUCCAUGUGUAGCGGUGAAAUGCGUAGAUAUAUGGAGGAACACCGGUGGCGAAAGCGGCUCUCUGGUCUGUAACUGACGCUGAGGCUCGAAAGCGUGGGGAGCAAACAGG